rnacentral:rRNA from 1 species
UACGGAGGGUGCAAGCGUUAUCCGGAUUCACUGGGUUUAAAGGGAGCGUAGGUGGGCUGGUAAGUCAGUGGUGAAAUCUCCGGGCUUAACUCGGAAACUGCCGUUGAUACUAUCAGUCUUGAAUAUUGUGGAGGUAAGCGGAAUAUGUCAUGUAGCGGUGAAAUGCUUAGAUAUGGCAUAGAACACCGAUAGCGAAGGCAGCUUGCUACACAAUUAUUGACACUGAGGCUCGAAAGCGUGGGGAUCAAACAGG